AUUUUGUCUCUUAUAU
rnacentral:sRNA from 1 species